AAAGUAUUUAAGAGGCAGCAGAGGCGGGAGUCAAGCAGACCGGCGGCGACAGAAGACAAAGAACGUUUUCUGACUCCUUUUCUCCUCUGUUCCAAAAGAAGGCACAGAAGGCUCCUUCGAACUAGCUGACCAUGCGGUGCCUGGCGUGGCUGUCCGUGCUCCUGGCGGUGGUGCUGGUGCUGGUGCUGGGGCCCAGGCACGCCGUGGAGGCAGGCAGGAUGCCCUUCCCUGGACGUGAGCGUCGCGAGGUGAGUAGGAAACGAGUUUCCUGUGUGUGACACAUUGUUUUUAGUUGACCUGAAAAAGCUGAGCACAGCGAACUAGGAUGACGAUGGAAGUUUUUCUUUAAUAACAUGAAAGUGACCAUAAAAAAAGGGUGAAACACUCGGUUUGCAAGACGUUUAACUCCUUAUUCAGAUUAGUAAUUAAAGAUAAUGUUGCAAGUAUAAAUUUAUCAAGCCUCAUCAUGCUUCCGGGUGUUGCUGAUGUAUUAAUUGUCUAUCAGCUCCUCUCAUGUUUAUAUGUAAUAAGAAAGAAGCAAAACCUUGGCUGGAAUCUAGUUAUUCUCUUUUAUGUGUCUUGGAGAUCAGCAAUACUUUUACCAUAGCCGUCGGACACAAAAGUUAUCCAAAAGCUCCGCCCCCUCCCUCACCCUUGCUUCAAGGUAACACAGCCCGUAUUCCUGAACGUAUCGGCACCAUUGCCGCCCCCUCCCUCACCCUUGCUGCAAGGUAACACAGCCCGUAUUCCUGAACGUAUCGGCACCAUUGCCGCCCCCUCCCUUACCCUUGCUGCAAGAUAACACAGCCCGUAUUCCUGAACGUAUCGGCACCAUUGUUGCCCCCUCCCUCACCCUUGUUGCAAGGUAACACAGCCCGUAUUCCUGAACGUAUCGGCACCAUUGCCACCCCCUCCCUCACCCUUGCUGCAAGGUAACACAGCCCGUAUUCCUGAACGUAUCGGCACCAUUGCCACCCCCUCCCUCACCCUUGCUGCAAGGUAACACAGCCCGUAUUCCUGAACGUAUCGGCAUCAUUGCCACCCCCUCCCUUACCCUUGCUGCAAGGUAACACAGCCCGUAUUCCUGAACGUAUCGGCAUCAUUGCCGCCCCCUCCCUUACCCUUGCUGCAAGGUAACACAGCCCGUAUUCCUGAACGUAUCGGCAUCAUUGCCGCCCCCUCCCUCACCCUUGCUGCAAGGUAACACAGCCCGUAUUCCUGAACGUAUCGGCAUCAUUGCCGCCCCCUCCCUCACCCUUGCUGCAAGGUAACACAGCCCGUAUUCCUGAACGUAUCGGCAUCAUUGCCGCCCCCUCCCUUACCCUUGCUGCAAGGUAACACAGCCCGUAUUCCUGAACGUAUCGGCAUCAUUGCCGCCCCCUCCCUUACCCUUGCUGCAAGGUAACACAGCCCGUAUUCCUGAACGUAUCGGCAUCAUUGCCGCCCCCUCCCUUACCCUUGCUGCAAGGUAACACAGCCCGUACUCCUGAACGUAUUGGCACCAUUGCCGCCCCCUCCCUUACCCUUGCUGCAAGGUAACACAGCCCGUAUUCCUGAACGUAUUGGCACCAUUGCCGCCCCCUCCCUUACCCUUGCUGCAAGGUAACACAGCCCGUACUCCUGAACGUAUUGGCACCAUUGCCGCCCCCUCCCUUACCCUUGCUGCAAGGUAACACAGCCCGUAUUCCUGAACGUAUUGGCACCAUUGCCGCUCCCUCCCUCACCCUUGCUGCAAGGUAACACAGCCCGUACUCCUGAACGUAUUGGCACCAUUGCACGCCUGUUUGAAAAGCCUCUCGUAGAAGUAGUUGGGAUUUUCAUGGACUGUUUUGCCGCCCUAGUGAUAGAUUCAUCCGACUUCUGCAUUAUGAAUCACCCUUGAGAACCAGUUAAUCUUCUCUGCGGCCUUGGACAACAGUGGUAAUGGGAGCCCGAUACGUUUCAGAAUAUGGACCUAUAUGGACGCCUCACUCCAACCUUCUUUCUUCCAUCCAGUCGGCUCCCAUCGUUAUGGCAGAGUCUGGGAGGCUUCUGGAUCAUUUUGAUGCACAGUGACUAUAGUACUAAUGAAUCACUCCCUAUAAUGCCUUAUACAUGUUCUCUCCUCGCAGGCCUCGCCUCAGGGAACGUGGGGAUGCAGCCCCUCAAGGGCGUGUGGUGACCGCCCUGAUGGGUAGCAUGUAGCUCGCCCUGGGACGCCUGCACAGAUGACCGGACAGAGAGCACGACAGCGAACUUCAGUAUUGUUUCCAUUUGCACGAUUAAAAAGAACAUCUAUUGUUAUUCACUAACUCAA